rnacentral:rRNA from 1 species
AAUGAACGCUGGCGGCGUGCUUAACACAUGCAAGUCGAACGAGAAAGUCUUAGCUUGCUAGGACGAGUAGAGUGGCGCACGGGUGAGUAACACGUGGAUAAUCUACCUUUGAAUUUGGAAUAACUAUUCGAAAGGAUAGCUAAUACCGGAUAAAGUCAUUUAAUCUUCGGAUUUUAUGAUGAAAGACAGCCUCUGAUUUAAGCUGUUGUUUGAAGAUGAGUCCGCGCACCAUUAGCUGGCUGGUGGGGUAAAGGCCUACCAGGGCAACGAUGGUUAGCUGGUCUGAGAGGAUGAUCAGCCACACUGGAACUGACACACGGUCCAG